rnacentral:rRNA from 1 species
CCUACGGGUGGCAGCAGUGGGGAAUAUUGGGCAAUGGGCGCAAGCCUGACCCAGCAACGCCGCGUGAAGGAAGAAGGCUUUCGGGUUGUAAACUUCUUUUCUGAGGGAAGAAGAAAGUGACGGUACUUCCUGAAUAAGCCACGGCUAACUACGUGCCAGCAGCCGCGGUAAUACGGAGGUGGCAAGCGUUAUCCGGAUUUAUUGGGUGUAAAGGGCGUGUAGGCGGGAAAGCAAGUCAGAUGUGAAAAUUUAGGGCUCAACCCUGAGACUGCAUUUGAUACUGGUUUUCUUGAGUGCUGGGGAGGCAAUCGGAAUUCCGGGUGUAGCGGUGAAAUGCGUAGAUAUACGGAGGAACACCAGUGGCGAAGGCGGAUUGCUGGACAGUAACUGACGCUGAGGCGCGAAAGCGUGGGGAGCAAACAGGAUUAGAUACCCGAGUAGUC